AGAUUGAACGCUGGCGGCAUGCCUAACACAUGCAAGUCGAACGGGAGUAGCAAUACUCUAGUGGCGGACGGGUGAGGAAUACGUAGGAAUUUGCCCUUAAGUGGGGGAUAACCCGGGGAAACCCGGAUUAAUACCGCAUGACCUCGAAAGAGCAAAGUGGGGGAUCGCAAGACCUCACGCUUUUGGAGAAGCCUACGUCGGAUUAGCUAGUUGGUGAGGUAAUGGCUCACCAAGGCGACGAUCCGUAACUGGUCUGAGAGGAUGAUCAGUCACACCGGAACUGAGACACGGUCCGGACUCCUACGGGAGCAGCAGUGGGAAUAUUGGACAAGUGGGCGUAAGCCUGAUCCAGCAAUGCCGCGUGUGUGAAGAAGGCCUUACGGUUGUAAGCGUACGUUUAAGUUAGGAAGGAAAAACUACGACUACUAUACACUAGUGAGUCUAGUACGGUACCGACG
rnacentral:rRNA from 1 species